GUGCUCAUUUUGGUAAAACAUACACUAAAACUGAAACAAUACAGAGAUUAGCAUGGUCCCUGUACAAGAAUGAAUCAUUCCAUAUUUCUAAAAGUAACAGAAUAAA